AUAGAUAGGCUGGGAAGAGGUAGGAGAGACAGAGAGAGGUAGGAGAGACAGAGAGGUAGGAGAGACAGAGAGAGGUAGGAGAGACAGAGAGAGGUAGGAGAGACAGAGAGAGGUAGGAGAGACAGAGAGACAGAGAGAGAUAGGAGAGGCAGAGAGACAGAGAGAGGUAGGAGAGCCAGAGAGACAGAGAGAGAUAGGAGAGCCAGAGAGACAGAGAGAGGUAGGAGAGACAGAGAGAGGUAGGAGAGACAGAGAGAGGUAGGAGAGACAGAGAGAGGUAGGAGAGACAGAGAGAGGUAGGAGAGACAGAGAGAGGUAGGAGAGACAGAGAGAGGUAGGAGAGGCAGAGAGAGAUAGGAGAGGCAGAGAGACAGAGAGAGGUAGGAGAGACAGAGAGAGGUAGGAGAGACAGAGAGAGGUAGGAGAGACAGAGAGAGGUAGGAGAGACAGAGAGAGGUAGGAGAGACAGAGAGUUAUUAUGCAUGCAAGAGUGGGCCAAAAAAAAUUCCUCCACAGCGAUGUGAGAUACUGAUCAACAACUAAAGGAAGUGGUUGGUUGGAGUCAUUGCAGUUAUAGGUGGCCUGAUCAACUACAGGAAGUGGUUGGUUGGAGUCAUUGCAGCUAAAGGGGGCCUGAUCAACUACAGGAAGUGGUUGGUUGGAGUCAUUGCAGUUAUAGGUGGCCUGAUCAACUACAGGAAGUGUUUGGUUGGAGUCAUUGCAGUUAUAGGUGGCCUGAUCAACUACAGGAAGUGUUUGGUUGGAGUCAUUGCAGUUAUAGGUGGCCUGAUCAACUACAGGAAGUGUUUGGUUGGAGUCAUUGCAGUUAUAGGUGGCCUGAUCAACUACAGGAAGUGUUUGGUUGGAGUCAUUGCAGUUAUAGGUGGACUGAUCAACUACAGGAAGUGUUUGGUUGGAGUCAUUGCAGUUAUAGGUGGCCUGAUCAACUACAGGAAGUGUUUGGUUGGAGUCAUUGCAGUUAUAGGUGGCCUGAUCAACUACAGGAAGUGUUUGGUUGGAGUCAUUGCAGUUAUAGGUGGCCUGAUCAACUACAGGAAGUGUUUGGUUGGAGUCAUUGCAGUUAUAGGUGGCCUGAUCAACUACAGGAAGUGUUUGGUUGGAGUCAUUGCAGUUAUAGGUGGCCUGAUCAACUACAGGAAGUGGUUGGUUGGAGUCAUUGCAGUUAUAGGUGGCCUGAUCAACUACAGGAAGUGUUUGGUUGGAGUCAUUGCAGUUAUAGGUGGCCUGAUCAACUACAGGAAGUGGUUGGUUGGAGUCAUUGCAGUUAUAGGUGGCCUGAUCAACUACAGGAAGUGUUUGGUUGGAGUCAUUGCAGUUAUAGGUGGCCUGAUCAACUACAGGAAGUGUUUGGUUGGAGUCAUUGCAGUUAUAGGUGGCCUGAUCAACUACAGGAAGUGGUUGGUUGGAGUCAUUGCAGUUAUAGGUGGACUGAUCAACUACAGGAAGUGUUUGGUUGGAGUCAUUGCAGUUAUAGGUGGCCUGAUCAACUACAGGAAGUGGUUGGUUGGAGUCAUUGCAGUUAUAGGUGGCCUGAUCAACUACAGGAAGUGUUUGGUUGGAGUCAUUACAGCUAAAGGUGGACUGAUCAACAACUACAGGAAGUGUUUGGUUGGAGUCAUUGCAGUUAUAGUUGGCCUGAUCAACUACAGGAAGUGUUUGGUUGGAGUCAUUGCAGUUAUAGUUGGCCUGAUCAACUACAGGAAGUGUUUGGUUGGAGUCAUUGCAGUUAUAGUUGGCCUGAUCAACUACAGGAAGUGGUUGG